GCGGUGGAGCAUGUGGAUUAAUUCGAUACAAACCGAAGAACCUUACCUGGGCUUGACAUCCACGAGCAACUCCCUGGAAACAGGGAGCCUCGAUGGGGAAACCCAUCGACCCGUGGACACCGGUUGCAUGGCUGUCGUCAGCUCGUGCCGUGAGGUGUUGGGUUAAGUCCCGCAACGAGCGCAACCCUCGUCCUCUGUUGCCAGCGGGUAACGCCGGGCACUCGGAGGAGACUGCCGUGGUCAACACGGAGGAAGGUGGGGACGACGUCAAGUCAGCAUGGCGGUUACGUCCAGGGCGUCACACAUGCUACAAUGGGUGGUACAAAGGGCAGCCAACGCGCGAGCGGGAGCGAAUCCCAAAAAACCACCCUCAGUUGGGAUCGCAGUCUGCAACUCGACUGCGUGAACGCGGAAUCGCUAGUAACGGCGGGUCAGCCAUACCGCCGUGAAUACGUUCCCGGGCCUUGUACACACCGCCCGUCAAGUCACCCGAGUCGGUUGCGCCCGAAGUCGGUCGCCUAACCCGCAAGGGAGGGAGCCGCCGAAGGUGUGG
rnacentral:rRNA from 1 species